ensembl:lncRNA
CCACCUUAAAACUAAACAUCCGACAUUCAAAGUGUGAGGGAAGAGGACCAACUGAUGAAGGCGACGAUGGAGUCUCCAUCAAUGAAACCGCUAGUGCGUCUGCCUUUACAUCAGGUUUUCAAGCCACUAUCCCUGCAGCUACAGCAGCACCCAGCGCUACAUCUGACACAACUGGGGCCACAUUGUUGCCUGUCAGCCAGGCACCUAGCUUUAGUCUAUCCAUUCCUGCUACAACAAGACCAAAACUAAAACAGACAUCUCUAAGUCAGUUUCAAUUUGCACCUGCCUUGACUCCAUUGAGACAGGCAAAGAUAGAUGAAGAGCUGGCCAAAAUGAUUGUUGAUUGUUGGACGUCAAGGGUUACAACCUCAUUCACGCCUGUAACAUAGAACUUUAUUGAAGAUUUCCAAAUGACCUCCUGCCUAUCGGAGUGUUUUGGAUUCAGUGAGCGGCACACAGCAGACAACCCGGCAACCAAGCUUCUCGGUGUUACAGCAGAGUGGGAGGUUGAUAAGAAAGUGGUGUGCUACUUAUCUGACAAUGCUGCAAACAUCACAAAGGCUAUUCAGAUAACAGGGUGGACCCACCUUCCAGGCUUGGCACAUACAAUUCAUAUUGUGGUGAGAGAUGCCCUCAAAGGUCCACAACCCAUCAUAGAUAAAGUUAAAGCAGCAGUUGAAUACUUUCAUAGAAGCACAGUGGGUGCAAAAAAGCUGAAGGAAACACAGCUCCAUAUGAAGAUGGAUCAACUACGACCAAAACAGGACUGUGUCACAAGAUGGAACUUUUUUGACCAAUAAGAACCACAUCAUCUCCACCCUGGCCAUCACCAAUGCACCUGUCAGCCCUUUAUCCCUUGAAGAAUGGACUGUAAUGGAGGAGAUGUGCACCAUCUUGAAGCUGUUUGAAGAGGUCACUGUUGAACUCAGUGCAGAAAGCUACUUGACUGCCUCCAAGAUCAUGCUGCUGGCCAGGGGACUGCAGAUAGCCACGACAGAUGUCCAGAGGAGGGCAACAACACAGGCAGCAAAAGACAUGGUCAACACUUUAAGCAUGUCAGUUCGAUGGCGCAGAAUGGAUGCCAACCACACCCUUGCAGAUGCUGCUGCGCUUGACCCAAGAUUUAAAAGGAUGGCAUUCACGGAUGGCAGAGCUGCAGACGAUGCUUUCCAGAGAAUAUCAACUUCAGCAGCAAGACUCGCUCUGAGCAGCAGCGAACCCAUCCAGCAACCGAUCCAAGGGGAAGGUGCAGACAGUGCUGCAUCAGUUGCUUGGAGCUAUUUCCAUGAGCAGCAGGUAGCUGGAACAGUGCCAACUGGAAGCAGGAAUCCCACAGCAGAAGCCAUCAUGGAGGUGCAGGCUUACCAAGAGGAGCCUCUUCUUCCAAAAAACGUGGAUCCUGGUGGAAAAGUCGAGCCUCGCUACGACUACCCCAGGCAUAGCAAGCUCAUGGC